AACAAGGCGUACCUGCGGACCUGCGGAGGGAUCAUUACCGAGUUUACAACUCCCAAACCCCUGUGAACAUACCUAUACGUUGCCUCGGCGGAUCAGCCCGCGCCCCGUAAAACGGGACGGCCCGCCCGAGGACCCUAAACUCUGUUUUUAGUGGAACUUCUGAGUAAAACAAACAAAUAAAUCAAAACUUUUAACAACGGAUCU
rnacentral:misc_RNA from 1 species